rnacentral:rRNA from 1 species
AGAGUUUGAUCCUGGCUCAGGACGAACGCUGGCGGCGUGCCUAAUACAUGCAAGUCGAACGAAGCUUUCUUUCACCGAAUGCUUGCAUUCACCGAAAGAAGCUUAGUGGCGAACGGGCGAGUAACACGUAGGCAACCUGCCCAAAAGAGGGGGACAACACUUGGAAACAGGUGCUAAUACCGCAUAACCAUGAACACCGCAUGAUGUUCGUGUAAAAGACGGCUUUUGCUGUCACUUUUGGAUGGGCCUGCGGCGUAUUAACUUGUUGGUGGGGUAACGGCCUACCAAGGUGAUGAUACGUAGCCGAACUGAGAGGUUGAUCGGCCACAUUGGGACUGAGACACGGCCCAAACUCCUACGGGAGGCAGCAGUAGGGAAUCUUCCACAAUGGACGAAAGUCUGAUGGAGCAACGCCGCGUGAAUGAAGAAGGCCUUCGGGUCGUAAAAUUCUGUUGUCAGAGAAGAAUGUGCGUGAGAGUAACUGUUCACGUAUUGACGGUAUCUGACCAGAAAGCCACGGCUAACUACGUGCCAGCAGCCGCGGUAAUACGUAGGUGGCAAGCGUUGUCCGGAUUUAUUGGGCGUAAAGGGAACGCAGGCGGUCUUUUAAGUCUGAUGUGAAAGCCUUCGGCUUAACCGAAGUAGUGCAUUGGAAACUGGAAGACUUGAGUGCAGAAGAGGAGAGUGGAACUCAUGUGUAGCGGUGAAAUGCGCAGAUAUAUGGAAGAACACCAGUGGCGAAAGCGGCUCUCUGGUCUGUAACUGACGCUGAGGUUCGAAAGCGUGGGUAGCAAACAGGAUUAGAUACCCUGGUAGUCCACGCCGUAAACGAUGAGUGCUAAGUGUUGGAGGGUUUCCGCCCUUCAGUGCUGCAGCUAACGCAUUAAGCACUCCGCCUGGGGAGUACGGUCGCAAGACUGAAACUCAAAGGAAUCGACGGGGGCCCGCACAAGCGGUGGAGCAUGUGGUUUAAUUCGAAGCAACGCGAAGAACCUUACCAGGUCUUGACAUCUUCUGACAAUUCCAGAGAUGGAACGUUCCCUUCGGGGACAGAAUGACAGGUGGUGCAUGGUUGUCGUCAGCUCGUGUCGUGAGAUGUUGGGUUAAGUCCCGCAACGAGCGCAACCCUUAUUGUCAGUUGCCAUCAUUAAGUUGGGCACUCUGGCGAGACUGCCGGUGACAAACCGGAGGAAGGUGGGGAUGACGUCAAAUCAUCAUGCCCCUUAUGACCUGGGCUACACACGUGCUACAAUGGACGGUACAACGAGUCGCUAACUCGCGAGGGCAAGCUAAUCUCUUAAAGCCGUUCUCAGUUCGGAUUGCAGGCUGCAACUCGCCUGCAUGAAUCGGAAUCGCUAGUAAUCGCGAAUCAGCAUGUCGCGGUGAAUACGUUCCCGGGCCUUGUACACACCGCCCGUCACACCAUGAGAGUUUGUAACACCCAAAGUCGGUGGGGUAACCUUUUGGAGCCAGCCGCCUAAGGUGGGACAGAUGAUUGGGGUGAAGUCGUAACAAGGUA